GCUCAGUUGGUAAAGCACAAGGCUCUUAACCUUGUGGACGUGGAUUCAAGUCCCUU
rfam:Triticum aestivum genome assembly, contig: Triticum_aestivum_CS42_TGACv1_scaffold_223631_3B